AGCCAGUAGUGUUGCUAAGCAACACACAGCUUAUCAGUUCUCCAGGCAUGAAAUCACCACAACAGCUGGCCUGUCAGAAGGUGUCAUCUUUUGCAGAAGAAAACAGAGGAAAAACUGGCUGCAGGGGCUUUCAGACAACCCUCCUGGCGCUCAGUUGCACCUCUGUUGCUCUGCAAUGAACUGCUCAUCUCCAGAUGGGGCUGACUCCUUCGCCUAUUAAAGAUUAAUAGGUCUUGGCCAGGUGGGAGCACAUUUGAAUAACUUCUAUACACAUACAGUUGUUGUCAGUCCAUCAUCCAUAUUUGAGUGUGAAACUACCAGGAUGUGACUAUACACUGAAACUGACUGAAACUGAAGGGUGCCAAGAAGAAAGCCAUCAUUGAAAGGAACCCACAAAAAGUCCACAAGCCUAUACAGCCAACAUGUGCAAGAAGGUCCUCCAGUUAGAUGAGUCUGAAAUUAAGAUGUUUAGGCCAUCAUGCAAAAUGCUUUGUAUGCAGGAAACCUAACACUGCACAUCAACCUGAAUACAACAAUAAAGUUUGAUGGUGAGGGAUUAUUUUCUUUAGC